rnacentral:rRNA from 1 species
UGAAGAACGCAGCGAAAUGCGAUACCUAGUGUGAAUUGCAGAAUUYCGCGAAUCAUCGAGUUUUUGAACGCAAGUUGCGCCCGAGGCUCGUACCAAGGGCAUGUCUGUUUGAGCGUCCA